rnacentral:lncRNA from 1 species
AAAUCUAUCACAAAAUCCAAAUUCCACUACAUUCUUACUACCUCCCUUUUCUCUUCAAGAAAGACUGCUACUUUCAUCAAACCUGUGUUCUCAAACAAAAAUUGAAGUUAGAAAGAAAUAAGAAUAAAAAAGAAAAUAUACCGAUAAAUAGUACCUCAUGUUCCAAGAGAAGUAAAAACUUCUAAAUUUAGCAAGCUUGCUAAGAAUUAAUACAACCUGCAAAAUAUUAUAAAAAUUUUGUUCAAACUUAUAGCGCAUUAGUACAAUAUCAAUCAAACAACAUUUUCUAAUUUAAAUAAUACCUUUACUACUGAAAUUUCUUCAUGCUUGUAAAUAUCAAUAUUGAUCCAAUUUCAAGAAGCUGAAUCUCCCAUCUUUUAUCCUCGUCCAGCUUAAAUGGCUUGUGAGUUGUACAUUACAAAAAUUCACUCAACCUUUCCAAACCAAACCAAACUCUAUGCCUUACAUUUAUAGUAAGUUCUACAUUACAAAAUUUUCACUUGGCACAACCCAUAUAGAGACACAUACAAAGACAUAUCUAUACAUAUUCAAAAGGGUGCUCCAAGUGUAAAAUUAUCUCUCAACAAAAGUACAAAAUAAACUAGAAUAUUAAAUACAAAAUAUAACAAAUACACUAAAUAGAUACACGAAAAAACUCAUUCAAAAUGCAUAUCACAAUAAGUAGGACAUCAACCACCAACGAAACAUAAUAAUAAAAACAUCCAAACAUAUAUAACAAAAGAAAAAAACAACACAAAAAAAUUACAAUGACAUUCAACGAAACAUCACAUUCACAAACAAAAUCAACAUUCAUCAAAAAAAUUAUAAUAGUCCAACAAAACAUUACAUUCGAAACAAAUAUUACAAUAUUCCGACAAAACAUCACACAAUAACAAAAAAAUAACACAUAUAUAACACAUUCAUCAAGCAAGACCAAUAGAAAAAAUUACAAUAUUCCAAUUAAAGUUUAAUAACUAUCGGUGAACAUAUAUAACACAUUUUAUAUAAUAUAUAUAUAAUAUAAUGUGUAUCUAUACAUACAUAUGUAUAUUACGUAUAUAAUAUAAUAUAUAUUAUAAUACUUAUUAUACAGAUAUACAUGUGUAUAAUACACAUGUAUAUUAUGUAUAUUACAUAAUAAUAUAAUAUAAUUAUAUCACUUUCCUAAAUAUUUAGAACCUAUAAAACGAGCCAUCUUCUACGCAUAUACCUACUUACGGCUCUUUUUCUACCCAAAUCUAUCACAAAAUCCAAAUCUCACUACAUUCUUACUACCUCCAUUUUCUCUUCAAGAAAGACUGCUACUUUCGUCAAACAUUUGUUCUCAAACAAAAUUUGAAGUUAGAAAGAAAUAAGAAUAAAAAAGAAAAUAUACCGAUAAAUAGUACCUCAUGUUCUAAGAGAAGUAAAAACUUCUAAAUUUAGCAAGCUUGCUAAAAAUCAAUACAACCUGCAAAAAAUUAUAAAAAAUUUUGUCCAAACUUAUAGCGUAUUAGUACAAUAUCAUUCAAAUAACAUUUUCUAAUUUAAAUAAUACAUUUGCUACUAAAAUUUCUUCAUGCUUGUAAAUAUUGAUCCAAUUUCAAGAAGCUGAAUCUCCCAUCUUUUAUCCUCGUCUUUAGCUUACAUGGCUUGUGAGUUGUACAUUACAAAAAUUCACUCAACCUUUCCAAACCACACUUUAUGCCUUACAUUUAUAGUAAGUUAUACAUUACAAAAUUUUCACUUAGCACAACCCAUAUAGAGACACAUACAAAGAAAUAUCUAUACAUAUUCAAAAGGGUGACACAAGUGUAAAAUUCUCUCAACAAAAGUACAAAAUAAACUAGAAUAUUAAAUACAAAAUAUAACAAAUACACUAAAUAGAUACACAAAAAAACACAUUCAAAAUGCAUAUCACAAUAAGUAGGACAUCAACCACCAACGAAACAUAAUAAUAAAAACAUCCAAACAUAUAUAACAAAACAAAAAAAUUACAAUGAAACGAAACAUCACAUUCACAAACAAAAUCAACAUUCAUCAAAAAAAUUACAAUAAUCCAACAAAACAUUACAUUCAAAAAAAAUAUUACAAUAUUCCGACAAAAGAUCACACAAUAACAAAAAAAAUAACACAUAUAUAACACAUUCAUCAAGCAAGACCAAUAUAAAAAAUUACAAUAUUCCAAUUAAAGUUUAAUAACUAUCGGUAAACAUAUAUAACACAUUUUAUAUAUAUAUAUAUAUAUAUAUAUAUAUAUAUAAUAUAAUGUGUAUUUAUACAUACAUAUGUAUAUUAUGUAUAUAAUAUAAUACUUAUAAAGAUAUACAUGUAUACAUACAUAUUAUACUAUAAAACGAGCCAUCUUCUACGUUUAUACGUACUUACGGCUCUUUUUCUACCCAAAUCUAUCACAAAAUCCAAAUCCCACUAUAUUCUUACUACCUCCCUUUUCUCUUCAAGAAAGGGUGCUACUUUUGUCAAACCUGAGUUCAUAAACAAAAAUUGAAGUUAUUAAGAAAUAAGAUUAAAAAAGAAAAUAUACCGAUAAAUAAUACCUCAUGUUCUAAGAGAAGUAAAAACUUCUAAAUUUAGCAAGCUUGCUAAGAAUUAAUACAACCUGCAAAAUAUUAUAAAAAUUUUGUUCAAACUUAUAGCGCAUUAAUACAAUAUCAUUCAAACAACAUUUUCUAAUUUAAAUAAUACAUUUGCUACUGAAAUUUCUUCAUGCUUGUAAAUAUCAAUAUUGAUCAAGAAGCUGAAUCUCCCAUCUUUUAUCUUCAUCUUCAGCUUACAUGGCUUGUGAGUUGUACAUUACAAAAAUUCACUCAACCUUUCUAAACCACACUCUAUGCCUUACAUUUAUAAUAAGUUCUACAUUACAAAAUUUUAACUUGGCACAACCCAUAUAGAGACACAUACAAAGAAAUAUCAAUACAUAUUCAAAAGGGUGCCCCAAGUGUAAAAUUAUCUCUUAACAAAAGUACAAAAUAAACUAGAAUAUUAAAUACAAAAUAUAACAAAUACACUAAAUAGAUACACGAAAAAACUCAUUCAAAAUGCAUAUCACAAUACGUAGGACAUCAACCACCAACGAAACAUAAUAAUAAAAACAUCCAAACAUAUAUAACAAAAUAAAAAAAUAACACAAAAAAAAUUACAAUGACAUUCAACGAAACAUCACAUUCACAAACAAAAUCAACAAUCAUCAAAAAAAUUACAAUAUUCCAACAAAACAGUACAUUCAAAAUAAAUAUUACAAUAUUCCGACAAAACAUCACACAAUAACAAAAAAAA